rnacentral:rRNA from 1 species
GACGAACGCUGGCGGCGUGCUUAACACAUGCAAGUCGAACGGAAAGGCCCUGCUCUUGUGGGGUGCUCGAGUGGCGAACGGGUGAGUAACACGUGAGUAACCUGCCCUUGACUUUGGGAUAACUUCAGGAAACUGGGGCUAAUACCGGAUAGGAGCUCCUGCUGCAUGGUGGGGGUUGGAAAGUUUCGGCGGUUGGGGAUGGACUCGCGGCUUAUCAGCUUGUUGGUGGGGUAGUGGCUUACCAAGGCUUUGACGGGUAGCCGGCCUGAGAGGGGGGCCGGCCACAAUGGGACUGAGGGACGGACCAGACUCCUACGGGAGGCAACAGUGGGGAAUAUUGCACAAUGGGCGGAAGCCUGAUGCAGCAACGCCGCGUGCGGGAUGACGGCCUUCGGGUUGUAAACCGCUUUCGCCUGUGACGAAGCGAGAGUGACGGUAAUGGGUAAAGAAGCACCGGCUAACUACGUG